rnacentral:rRNA from 1 species
UACGUAGGGUGCGAGCGUUGUCCGGAAUUACUGGGCGUAAAGGGCUCGUAGGUGGCCAACUAAGUCAGACGUGAAAUCCCUCGGCUUAACCGGGGAACUGCGUCUGAUACUGGAUGGCUUGAGUUCGGGAGAGGGAUGCGGAAUUCCAGGUGUAGCGGUGAAAUGCGUAGAUAUCUGGAGGAACACCGGUGGCGAAGGCGGCGUUCUGGACUGCAACUGACACUGAGGAACGAAAGCCAGGGGAGCAAACGGG